GCUGUGAUGACAAUCUUAGGACACCUUUG
rnacentral:piRNA from 1 species